rnacentral:rRNA from 1 species
UACGUAGGGGGCAAGCGUUGUCCGGAAUCAUUGGGCGUAAAGCGCGCGUAGGCGGCCCGAUAAGUCCGCUGUAAAAGUCAACGGCUCAACUGUUGAACGCCGGUGGAUACUGUCGGGCUAGAGUCCGGAAGGGGCAAGUGGAAUUCCCGGUGUAGCGGUGGAAUGCGCAGAUAUCAGGAGGAACACCAAUAGCGAAGGCAGCUUGCUGGGACGGUACUGACGCUAAGGCGCGAAAGCGUGGGGAGCGAACAGG